rnacentral:rRNA from 1 species
GACGAACGCUGGCGGCGUGCCUAAUGCAUGCAAGUCGAGCGGGCUACAGUCUUCGGAUUGUAGUUUAGCGGCGAACGGGUGAGUAACACGUAGGUAAUCUACCCUUCAGAGGAGGACAACCUCAGGAAACUGAGGCUAAACCUCCGUACGUUCAUGUGCAGGGAUGCAGAUGAAGAAAGAGUUACCCCUAGAGGGUAGCUGCUGAAGGAUGAGCCUGCGGCCCAUCAGGUAGUUGGUGAGGUAACGGCUCACCAAGCCGAAGACGGGUAACCGGUCUGAGAGGAUGUCCGGUCACACUGGGACUGAGACACGGCCCAGACUCCUACGGGAGGCAGCAGCAGGGAAUCUUGGGCAAUGGGCGAAAGCCUGACCCAGCGACGCCGCGUGGAGGAAGAAGUCCUUCGGGCGUAACUCCUGGACUGGGGACGAGGAAGGACGGUACCCGAGUAGAAAGGGACGGCUAACUACGUG